rnacentral:rRNA from 1 species
UAGGGAAUCUUCCGCAAUGGGCGAAAGCUUGACGGAGCAACGCCGCGUGAGUGAUGAAGGUCUUCGGAUCGUAAAACUCUGUUAUUAGGGAAGAACCAAUGUGUAAGUAACUAUGCACGUCUUGCCGGUACCUACUCUGAAAGCCACGGCUAACUACGUGCCAUCAGCCGCGGUAAUACGUAGGUGGCAAGCGUUAUCCGGGAUUAUUGGGCGUACAGCGCGCGUCUGCGGUUUUUUAAGUCUGAUGUGAAAGCCCACGGCUCAACCGUGGAGGGUCAUUGGAAACUGGAAAACUUGAGGGAAGAAGAGGAGAGUGGAAUUACAUGUGUAGCGGUGAAAUGCGCAGAGAUAUGGAGAAACAUCAGUGGCGAAGGCGACUUUCGGGUCUGUAACUGACGCAGAUGUGAGAAAGCGUGGGGAUCAAACAGG